rnacentral:rRNA from 1 species
CCUACGGGAGGCUGCAGUGAGGAAUAUUGGUCAAUGGGCGAGAGCCUGAACCAGCCAAGUCGCGUGAGGGAGUACUGCCCUAUGGGUUGUAAACCUCUUUUGUCGGGGAGCAAAAGCCGGACGUGUCCGGCUGUGAGAGUACCCGAAGAAAAAGCAUCGGCUAACUCCGUGCCAGCAGCCGCGGUAAUACGGAGGAUGCGAGCGUUAUCCGGAUUUAUUGGGGUUAAAGGGUGCGCAGGCGGAUUUUUAAGUCAGCGGUCAAAUCGUGGGGCUCAACCCCAUCCAGCCGUUGAAACUGGGCAUCUAGAGUGUGCGAGAGGUAUGCGGAAUGCGUGGUGUAGCGGUGAAAUGCAUAGAUAUCACGCAGAACCCCGAUUGCGAAGGCAGCAUACCGGUGCACAACUGACGCUCAGGCACGAAAGCGUGGGUAUCGAACAGGAUUAGAUACCCGAGUAGUC